rnacentral:rRNA from 1 species
CCUACGGGAGGCAGCAGUGGGGAAUAUUGGGCAAUGGGCGUAAGCCUGACCCAGCAACGCCGCGUGAAGGAAGAAUGCCCUCUGGUUGUAAACUUCCUUUUUCAGGGACGAAGCAAGUGACGGUACCUGACGAAUAAGCCACGGCUAACUACGUGCCAUCAGCCGCGGCAAUACGUAGGUCGCAAGUGUUAUCCGGAUUGACUGGGUGUAAAGGGCGUGUAGGCGGGGAAGCAAGUCAGAUGUGAAAACCACGGGCUCAACCUGUGGCCUGCAUUUGACACUGUUUUUCUUGAGUGCUGGAGAGGCAAUCGGAAUUCCGUGUGUAGCGGUGAAAUGCGUAGAUAUACGGAGGAACACCAGUGGCGAAGGCGGAUUGCUGGACAGUAACUGACGCUGAGGCGCGAAAGCGUGGGGAGCAAACAGGAUUAGAUACCCCUGUAGUC